ensembl:lncRNA
AGCCGGUAUUCAUGCCAUGCUUUAUGGCUUACAUUCCUGCAGAGUCGCUCAGAGCAGGGAAUGUGAGACAGACGCGGCCUCGUCUCUGUCUGCUUGGCACCCCUGUGCCUGGCAAAUGCAGACCUGGCACAUCACUUCCCAACCUAAAGUCCUUCGGCUCGCAGCAGCCAGGUUGUGGAAGCAACCACACGUCCACAAAGAGACGAAGGUGGAACAUCACUCAGUCUUAGAAAGGAAGGGGACUCUGCCAGCGGCUGCAACACGCACGAACAUGGAGACAGCACGGCGCGUGGAGUCAGACACAAAACGACACACCUGGAAAAGGAUCAUCACCUUCAACCAAUUUGGGAGCAGUUUUGAAGAACUUUUGAGGAGAAUAUUUUCAACAUCUAUUUCCUCCAUGAAGCCCUAUGGAGGCCUCUAGAGUUGGUCCUACAUCUUGAAUCUUGAGGGAGCUGCUGACAGAGGAAAUACUGAAUUGGGAACAGGUGCAAGGGGGCUGUGCCCAGGAGAGAGGUGGGUUUUGUGUUAAAACCUGAUUAGCAAACACAUCCCUUUAUCCACUUUGAGAGCUUCUCCCAGGGACCCCGGCCAGAAGAAGGGAGGCCUUACUUUCUAAAUGAGAUGAACACCUUAAAAGCUGUAAGUUAAACACCUUCUUAGGUUUCACAGCCUUUGAGAAAGACUUCUUAUUAGAAGAUUCCUGUCGUAAAUACUUUUGUUAAAUAAACAGCAUUCUUAAUCAUGUAAA